CGUCUGCCACUUGGCAAGCUGUUCAUCUCAAUUUCCUUUUCCUUUUGUGAAAAACGUGGAAACCGAUCUCAGUUUUCACUUGCUGUAAACUGGAGUUGUUCUGUGAAAGCUUGAGGACCUCGAGCAAUUUACAACAGCUGAGGAUCUGUGUUUGAAAAGAAGACAAGCUCACUGUAACCUGAGGCACCUCACAGGGGAAAAAUAAAACCUGUCAGCAAUUUCCACCUCUUCCUGCAAGGGAUGAACGCUGGCGACCCUGACCCACAGCUGCUUUGGCUCUUCUGGAUGCAAGGCAGCUGAGGUAUUCCAGCUUCUUGCUUUUUCUAAUGCCCUAGGCAUUUUUAAAGAACCACCUCAGUGGACGUGACUGUCCCAAGGCCACAACACAACCAGCUGAGCCCUCUUGUGUGUAGUCUGUCUGGGCCAGUGAACCAGGCUUACUUCACCUGGCAGUCAUUCCUGCACUGAUGCGACCGAUGCUGACUCAACUCCAGGGGAUGGAAACGCAAGCCAGAUUGAAGCCAGAGGCAAAAGGUUUCCUGCAAGAGUCAUUGGACUGUGUCUGGAGAAGACGUUCCUCCUCAGGAAGGACAGGAGGUGCCCGUGGUCAAGGCUGGGGCAAGUGCCGGGGUCAGAGGAAUACCUGGACCAAGCCAUUGCAGAGCAUCCUGAGGCAACGAUGCUUCUUUUGUAUACCUGUUUAUUGCAAUUGCAAGCUUUGGAUGAAAAGCACUUUGUCUUCAUGUGUGCCACUUCAUCAACUAGCAAAUUGGAGUCAGGGAGCAAAUAUAUGGAGACCAAACACAGGUUAUUCUGCACUGCAUAGGUACGUGUGUGCAUACAUAUCCUUAUGCAAGUGCACGCUAUCUCUCCAGUAACCUUUUCUGUCCCUUCUUAGCUUUGUCAAUGUCAAGGUAAAAAUGUGUUCUCUUUGUUUCUUGUCUUUUUAAGCAGUUUUCCUGGCCCGUUGUUCUUCAUUUUUCAUUUGAUUUGAAUCUAAGCUGUGAGGAAGAUGAACCUUUCACCUGCUGAAGAACAUCACUCUUGUGAAUAAGAAUCUAUAUUAAAAGAUGUUAAAAUUCUCUGCAGAAAUGAGUGUUUUAAAGGUAGUUAGAUCUAUUGCCUUUCAAAUCUGACUUUUCAUAUUGCAUUAUAUUGCUCAGUAUAAUGUGUGAAACAUGUAAAGGGUAUAUCAGAG
rnacentral:lncRNA from 1 species